ACGGGCCCUUUCGGGGGUUGGGUUAUAACCUUCUUUCAGUAAGGGAAGGAAGCGAAAAGUGGACGGUACCUUGCAGAAGAAAGCACCGGCUUAACUACGUGCCAGCAGCCGCGGUAAUACGUAGGGUGCGAGCGUUAUCCGGAAUUAUUGGGCGUAAAGAGCUCGUAGGCGGUUUGUCGCGUCUGUCGUGAAAGUCCGGGGCUUAACCCCGGGAUCUGCGGUGGGUACGGGCAGACUAGAGUGCAGUAGGGGAGACUGGAAUUCCUGGUGUAGCGGUGGAAUGCGCAGAUAUCAGGAGGAACACCGAUGGCGAAGGCAGGUCUCUGGGCUGUAACUGACGCUGAGGAGCGAAAGCAUGGGGAGCGAACAGGAUUAGAUACCCUGGUAGUCCAUGCCGUAAACGUUGGGCACUAGGUGUGGGGACCAUUCCACGGUUUCCGCGCCGCAGCUAACGCAUUAAGUGCCCCGCCUGGGGAGUACGGCCGCAAGGCUAAAACUCAAAGGAAUUGACGGGGGCCCGCACAAGCGGCGGAGCAUGCGGAUUAAUUCGAUGCAACGCGAAGAACCUUACCAAGGCUUGACAUGUUCUCGAUCGCCGUAGAGAUACGGUUUCCCCUUUGGGGCGGGUUCACAGGUGGUGCAUGGUUGUCGUCAGCUCGUGUCGUGAGAUGUUGGGUUAAGUCCCGCAACGAGCGCAACCCUCGUUCCAUGUUGCCAGCACGUAAUGGUGGGGACUCAUGGGAGACUGCCGGGGUCAACUCGGAGGAAGGUGAGGACGACGUCAAAUCAUCAUGCCCCUUAUGUCUUGGGCUUCACGCAUGCUACAAUGGCCGGUACAAUGGGUUGCGAUACUGUGAGGUGGAGCUAAUCCCAAAAAGCCGGUGUCAGUUCGGAUUGGGGUCUGCAACUCGACCCCAUGAAGUCGGAGUCGCUAGUAAUCGCAGAUCAGCAACGCUG
rnacentral:rRNA from 1 species